CUCCGAUCUCUGACCUGCGUUCUUAGCUGGGACGUCGAGUUCUCCCAAGAUAAUUAUCGACCAGGUGUUCCAAGAUAAUGAAUACUUCCAUAGCAACAAAAGUCUGACAAUAAACCGUUACCUUGAUUUUCACAUUUUCAAAGAAAAAUCCCUCAAUGGCAACUAGACCAGAAGUCUCAGCACUGAAUAUGCAAUAAUGGCUACAAGUUACGGGAUAUCAAAGUGGAGUGUGAACCAGCCAGGAGGAGAAUGAAUAACACCCAAAGACAAAAAAGG